rnacentral:rRNA from 1 species
GGAUGAGUGGCGAACGGGUGAGUAACACGUGAGUAACCUGCCCUCUUCUUUGGGAUAACGCCCGGAAACGGGUGCUAAUACUGGAUAUUCACUGAUCUUCGCAUGGGGGUUGGUGGAAAGGUUUGUUCUGGUGGGGGAUGGGCUCGCGGCCUAUCAGCUUGUUGGUGGGGUGAUGGCCUACCAAGGCUUUGACGGGUAGCCGGCCUGAGAGGGUGACCGGUCACAUUGGGACUGAGAUACGGCCCAGACUCCUACGGGAGGCAGCAGUGGGGAAUAUUGCACAAUGGGCGCAAGCCUGAUGCAGCGACGCCGCGUGAGGGAUGGAGGCCUUCGGGUUGUAAACCUCUUUCGCUCAUGGUCAAGCCGCGACGUGGGUUGUGGUGAGGGUAGUGGGUAAAGAAGCGCCGGCUAACUACGUGCCAGCAGCCGCGGUAAUACGUAGGGCGCGAGCGUUGUCCGGAAUUAUUGGGCGUAAAGGGCUUGUAGGCGGUUGGUCGCGUCUGCCGUGAAAUUCUCUGGCUUAACUGGGGGCGUGCGGUGGGUACGGGCUGACUUGAGUGCGGUAGGGGAGACUGGAACUCCUGGUGUAGCGGUGGAAUGCGCAGAUAUCAGGAAGAACA